rnacentral:lncRNA from 1 species
AUCGAAUACAUCAUUUUUGGCCUUCCAUUGCAUAAAUUCUAGUGUGGUACCCAGUUUUUUGUGGCCCUACUAGCAAUCUGGGUACGACAAUUUUUGGUGAUCAUCCAUGCGCUGCAACUUUGUUGCUUCCUUCUCAGUUUCGCAAUCUCUAUGUGCAUCCCGUAGCACCUAACCAAGGUCAUCAGUAGGGCCAUCAUCUGCAAACUCAUCUUCAUCAGCCUCGCCCAUUGUAGUAUCUUCAAAAGCUUGGCCUGUAGCUCAUACCGGAAUAUUGUCAUCCUCCUCCUCCUCUUCACCGUCUUCAAUUACAACCCC